rnacentral:tRNA from 2 species
GCAGUCGUGGCCGAGUGGCUAAGGCGAUGGACUAGAAAUCCAUUGGGGUCUCCCCGCACAGGUUCGAAUCCUGUCGACUGCU